GUGCUCGCCUCGGCAGCACAUAUACUAAAAUUGGAACAAUGCAGAGAAGAUUAGCAAGGUCCCUGCACAAGUAUGACACGCAAAUUUAUGAAGCAGUCUAUAUUUAA